AGAAUGUGCAAAGUCGCCGACGUUAAUGAAGGUAAGUUUGUUUUUAAUAUUGAUGUAUUGUUUGUUUGAAUUGCUUAGAAAAUUAACACGGUCGUUGCGUAUAUAAGUGGAAAAAAGACAGCAUAUAAUUUCAGUGUAUUUUUAUCAAUUAUCCUUUCUUUUGUAUAUCAAAAUAUUUAAAUAAAGAGGAAAGCAAAGUUAUUUUCAUGCGAGAAUUUGAAAUCAGUUUAUUUCAAACUCAAUGUUUACCGACAAUUCGAUAAAAGGCGGUUUUAGACAAUCUUAUAGUUUUAAGGAGGCUCCCCAAAGUUUCCAAUAUAUGUCAGUGUU